AGACAGGAAGCAUGAGGGCAGGCUCAUCAGUGUCAGAGCAGGGGAGACCAGCACAGACACCUUACAAGCAGAAUGACCUUCUGUGGCUACAGAGAAAGGCUUCAGGCAAAGAGAUGCAGCUCUGGGCCCCAGAGUCCGCUGGAGCACACUGAAGCUGGAGCACACUGACGUGGAAGAUGGGGCUGCAGACAGAGACUGGGCAGCCUCUGCUCCAGGGAGGCCCGAGAGCCAGAGAGCAGAUUCCAUAAGAAGAAUAACUCCCGUUCCUCAUGCAUGAGACCCUCUGCUAAAUCCUUCCUGUGUACCACCUCCAGAAAUCCUCCCAAGCCAGGACACCAGCAGUAUUACAGGUAAGAAAACGGAGGCUCCCAGAGAUUUGACAACCUGCCCGCAGCAAUGACCAAAUCAGACUUAGUGCUAAGUCUGCACCUCCCCAAAGUCAGUGUGUUUGUGCGCUCUGCUGCCACUGCCACCCGCUGGCCCUGCACUUGAUGUGAACCAUCAGGCAGACCUGGAGUUCUGUCUCCUGGGUGGGCUGCUUGCCAACACCAGGGUGGCCGGCCCCUGCCUGUGUCAGGUCCUGCAGUGUUGACUCUCUUCGUGUGAUGUUGGGCAGGUGGAGCUGGUUGUGCUGAGCCUGAGGAAACAUCCAAUGUGCCAAACUUU